CCAGAUGGAUGAUGGGAAGAGUAUCCGCUAUAAGGACCUGUACGCCCUGUUCGAGCAGAUCCUGGAGAAGACCAUGCGCUUGGAGCAGAGGGACUGGAGCGAGUCGCCCGUCAAGGUCUGGUCAACACCUUCAAGAUCUUUCUGGAUGAGUUCAUGACCGAGUACAAGCCCAUGGACAGCACCAUCAGCAAGCAGGUCCCCAAACCGAGCGAAAAAAGAGGAG